UUUUUUUUUUUUUUUCUCAUUGCAUUGUAACUGACUGAAGGUAAAGAUGUUUAUUUUGAACAAGUUAUUUAGCUUAAAAAGGUUGUUCCAUUGGGGUUGCUAAGGUAACAAGCCUAAUUGUUUUUUUUAAACGGCAAAAUGUUCAAUUUAACCCCUGUAUUCAUUGGGGAAAUUCAAUUUAAAUCAUUUUCAACUUUUUGUUCAAAUUAGC
rnacentral:misc_RNA from 1 species